AUUAAGAAGCUAUGAACCAGCAUUAGCCUUUUAAGCUAAAGAAAGAGGGAUACACCCCUCCUUAAUGA
rnacentral:tRNA from 1 species